CUCCUCGAAACGAGCCGAUCACACUCUUCGUAAUUAGCUGCCAAUUGCAUUUAGUGCGUGAUUCAGCUUGAAUUUCUUUAGAAAUCACACUUGAAGCCUAGAGCGUUUCACGACGAGAAUGUUUAGUACGUUUGUAAGUAUUCACGGCAAGACCGCGUUUUCAAUCGUUUUUAACGCGAAAACUUGCGGUAGCACAAUAGGCGAUAAGCCGAUGGCUCGUGGCCAAUUUGGUCGAAUAUCCCCCAAGAAAGUAUACGAAGGAUAAGG